UCAGAAAGCAGGAACUGAAG
rnacentral:misc_RNA from 1 species